GUUGAAACACCAGUUCCCAUACAAUAACAAAAGUUAAGCAACAUUGAGCCUGGUCAGUACCUAGAUGGUUGACUGCUUGGGAAUACGAGAUGCUA